AACGAACGCUGGCGGCAGGCUUAACACAUGCAAGUCGAACGGUCUCUUCGGAGGCAGUGGCAGACGGGUGAGUAAUGCAUGGGAAUCUACCGUUCUCUACGGAAUAACUCAGGGAAACUUGUGCUAAUACCGUAUACGCCCUUUUGGGGAAAGAUUUAUCGGAGAAUGAUGAGCCCAUGUUGGAUUAGCUAGUUGGUAGGGUAAAGGCCUACCAAGGCGACGAUCCAUAGCUGGUCUGAGAGGAUGAUCAGCCACACUGGGACUGAGACACGGCCCAGACUCCUACGGGAGGCAGCAGUGGGGAAUAUUGGACAAUGGGCGCAAGCCUGAUCCAGCCAUGCCGCGUGAGUGAUGAAGGCCCUAGGGUUGUAAAGCUCUUUCACCGGUGAAGAUAAUGACGGUAACCGGAGAAGAAGCCCCGGCUAACUUCGUG
rnacentral:rRNA from 1 species